CACUCUAUUCCCUUCACUCUGGCAGGAGAGAUUCCUGUGUGAUUAGAUUAUGUCAAUAUUCUAUCUAAAACACUAUCGUGGCUUUACUAAAAAAUCCAAUUUCCUCUCCACUACAAAGCUCUAUAAAAUCUAGCCUUAGCCACUUCUCUAGCUUCACUUCCUACCCUUCUCCUUUAUCCACUCUGCUCUACUUUGUCUGGCCUCCUUGCUGUUUGUGACAUUCAAAACCUUUGAGAUUGUCAUCCCUUUAGAUGUAAUCCCUCCUUUUCUAUAGGUGCCCUGAUUUGCUCCUUCUUUUCAUUCAUGUUCCUUCUCAAAUUCAUACCAUUUGACAUUAGAGAAUAUCGCCUCUGCCACUUUAUUCUCCCUUCCCUUGUGUUGCUACUUUAUGUUUCCACAUAGCAACAUUGCCAUCUGAUAUACAGUUAUAGUUAUUUGAACAAUGUCUGUAGUCCCAUAAUCUGUAAAUUCCUAUGAAUCCUAUAGGCCCUUUAGGACACGUCUCUGUUGUAUCCAGGUCCUAGAUCUUUGCCCAACUGGCAAUAGUUGCUGAAAAAAUAGUUUUUGAAUGAGUCUUACCAUUAUGGGUGUGAAGGUAUAACAAGAAAUUACUUGAGCACUAUUGUAAAGUUUGGAAGCAGAGGGAAGAUCCCACAAAGUAUGUGGAGCUUCAGUUAGGCCAAGGAAUCUACACAGUUUCAGGUAUCAUGAAAACAGUUACACUGGGAAUGGAAAGAGAGGUGCAAAGAGAAGAAAUGCAAAAAAAGGCAUCACUUGUUAAAAAUUGUGUACAAUAUCAGCUCCAGCUAUUCCUAUGAAUAAAUCAAACAUAUCAAUGACUACUUAGAAGGGCAAGCAUGUUGUCCAGUUUUAUCUUAAUUUCUACUCACCAAAAAAUCUUCCUUUAUACCAGUGUGGAAGAUGUUUCCAAAAACUUGAUUUUCAUUCUAUGAAACUUAAGAUUUACAAUUGGCUUACAAUAAAAUUAAUAGGUGAGAUUUAUUGCAAAAUCCCUUCUUCUGUAUUAUGUUAACCUGGUUAUAUGAUGGCUCUAAGGUCUUUGAGCAAUUUACUCAAAGUACUUAUUUUCCUAUGGCUCAUUUAUUUCUACUAUAUCUUGCUUAUACUAGGAAUAAUUUGGUUUUCUUUCUCUGUACCUACUGAUUUUUUCACAAUUAAAGCAGUUUCUUUUCUCUGUCACAACCUGCCCUAGGCCUUUUUAGUUUUUAUGCUGACUUUCUUGCAAAAUGCCCAUAACAAAAUUAUGAUGCUAAUAUAUCCAAUGAGUCAAUUAAUGUCAAAGAAUUCUAUUGAUUGUUUUCCUUUAUCUCCACAUUGACAUCAAUUCUCAUUAUUGAGAACAAGAUGCCACUUUGAAAGAGUUACAGUGAAAAUUAUAUUAUAUUUUAAUUUUGCCUUUUUAAAAUACCUGAACUUUUUGAGUUCUGUUCCAGCUGCUAAGAACCAGAUCCUUACUGUGAUAUCUUCCAAUAGACAGUAAGAAGAGAUCAUUUAGACCAAUCCUUUAUUUGAGAGCUCAAGAUAUUAAUGGGUAGAGUAACUUGCCCAAGGCCAUAUUAAUAGAAAUAUAGAAGUGAAAAGGGUAGGUACCUUAAGAACUGACAGCAGAUAGGACAUAUUUUAGGGAACUAAGUUGCUCAUAGUAUUUUCAGAUAAGAGUUUGAAAAUAAGCCUAAUUAUAAAUAUUAUGUAAUUCACACAUAGGUUACACAUAAGUAUUAGAAAAAUGCAGUCAUAUACCACUAAAUUUGCUGAUGUGGAAAAAGCAAUGAUAGUAAUGCUGUAUCUACAUAGACAAUGAAGAGGGAGUGCUUGAUCCUAUUUAAUAAAUCAUUCAUAGCACUAAAUUCCAAGUCACUGUUUUCACUCUUUCUGUUCACUCUGCCCCUGUAAACACUCUCUAUAUCACAUAUGCACUGUAUGAGGGAUACCCCCGGGCAAAAUCUACUUAAUUAGACUAAUAUUUAAGUUGAAGUAUUUCAUAAAAAGAAAAUGGGCUUAUUUUUGCAAUUUCGUAUGUACUUAAGUCUUUACAGCUGGUGGAACUAACUGUUAAGUGUUAGUCACUAAAAAAAGUGUUUAUUCAAACGCAUUUGUGAAGUCCUUUUAUAUUCAUCUCUGCAAGUCAUUUUAAUUUUUAGUGUAUACAUCUAUAAAUUUUAUUUUAAAAUGUAUUAAAACUCUUAUGCAUUUAAAAAUGAGUAAACAAAGAUAUAAAACAUACUAAAUUUAGCUUAUAUGCACAUUUAAGUGCACAUUUGUUUGAAGGUAAAAAGACAGAUUAAAUGAUCCAUGAUUCCUCCUAUAGUACAAUGUUCUUAUUUUUUGGUAAAAGUUUGUGGAUCUGUAGACUAGGAAAACAAACAAACAGCAGACAUGGGCUUUGUGGACCUCAAAAACUAUUUUAAAUGUUUUAAAAAUGACUUUCUAAAAGUAAAAUGGAACAACAUAUGCAAGAUAAUUGUAUAAUUUAGAAUAGACAUGUAUUAGUUUCUGUAGGAAUCAUGAAAAAGCAGCUCAGUGUAACUAACAUAAAUAAUUAAAAAGUAUUUCCCAUAUAUACUUUCUUCAGUCCUUAUUCUUUCUUUUACAUAUCCCUUUAUCCUCAGACCAAUUCCAGUCUUUCUCCCUUUCCACCUACCUUUUCAAUGCCUGUCUUCUAAAUUCUGUGUUAUAAAAUAUUAAAGACUAUUUGCAAAGGUUAAAAACCCUCUUAUACUGGAGGUGGGGAUAUGAGCUGAAGUCUAGGGAAAGGGACACCAGACUCUUAUCAAUUAGUAAAUCCUAUUCCUCUUCUAUCAACUGAGUUUGUAGAUGCUUGAAUUAUACAAAAGGAGUGUUGGCUGUAAAGUCACUUAUAGAUAUACUGAUUUGUUCCAGUAGAGUAAAUAUUUUACAUGAAAGAAUCAAAUUCCAGGAAAAGAUUGCAUUUGACUAAAGUAACAAUGAAAAUAUAUAAUAGAUAAUAAUAAACUUUGGGGCAUACAAUAAAAAAAUACACCACUGUAUUCAUGGUAGAAAUAAGAUUUGUGUAGGGGAUGAUAUAAGUGGAUAAGAAAGCAUAAUUCUUUGCUACUGGUUAGUGACACAAUGUGAUUGGUAUUAUGUUGUGUUAAGGAAAUAAAGAAGAAAGAAGUGAUAGCAUCUGAAUGAUAUGCUAUUGCAUGAGCUACUCAGUAUUGUGUCCACUUCUGUGAAAACUUGAGCACACUCAGUAGAGAGGAACUGACAUGCUGAAUUGAGUAGAGAGGAACUGACAUGCUGAAUUGACUAGAAACCACAUUAAUUAGAAAGCAUGUCACAGAAAGACGAGUAGACAUGAAGGGGAGGAGAGAUAUAGCAGAAGUUUUCAAAAUCAUAUCUAAAGUUCUAUCAGAGGGCACUCAGAAUAAAUUCAUUUUGUAUGGCUUUCACUGCAGAACUAGAAUCAAUUAAGAGAAGCAAAAGAGAGCAUGAUUCAAAGAGAGGAGGCAUUUUCUUUUAUCAUAUAUUUUAAGAAGUCAAAGUAUCUGGACACUGUUUGGAAAUAUUUAGUCAAAAUAAAAGAGAACCAAGAGAAGAGGAAGGAUAAUCUGAAGGACCAAAAAUCCCUACCAUUCCUGAGGAUUUCAGAUUCAACAGACUAAUAUGAUCUAAACAGAAUAGUCUUCUCUAUCCUAAGUAAAAUCUCUUUUCAAAUUCAUGGACAUUUUCCAAAGACUUCAAAAUUUUAAAAUUUUAUCUUGUGAGAUAAAAAUAUACAUCUUUAUUAUGCUGUAGGCAUCUAAAUGAAUCAUAAUUGAAAAUAUAGCCAUAGCAACAACAACAAUAAUAAAAUUCUCUAUAAAGUGAGCACCCAAUAAAUAUAUAUCAGGCACUAAGCAUUUUAUAAACACUUUUUUUUUCAUUUACUCCCCAAAACCUGUUUGGUAGGUAGUACAGGAUUCAUGUAUUUGAUGGAGCACACGGCUAGUAAGUAGAAGAGCUAGUAUUUCAACUCAGGUUUAUCCAAAUUUAAUCUCUUCAUCUAACUGUUAUACUAUUGCUAUUCAUUGUUCUGUAAUGCUCCAUUAAAUGAAACCUGAAUAAAUGGAGCAUGGAAGACAGUAUUAUACAGAAGAGAACCUGUUAUACCACUCAGAUAUCCCCAGGUAUAGACCUUCAAUUCAUACAUUUUCAAGAAGCACUCAGUAGCAUGUGGAGACCUAUCUUUAAAUAAGCCUCACAAGUGAAUCAAAAGGGCAUUUUGUGAUAAUAACAUUCAAUUCCUCAGAUAUUACCUUCUAAGCUUAAUGUUAUUAAUAUAUAUGCAAAAUAAGGAGCAAUUUACUACAAUUACCCGAAGGGAAAAAGUUCAUUAUAAUUCAUAAAUAUAAAAAGGUUUUUAUAUCUAUACAAAAUUAGUUGUUUUUCUGCAUACCUGAGAAUGAAGCUAGUCAUGCAAUAAAGAUAUCUUUGUGGAACUUCAAUGAAUAAAGGCAAAGUGAGAGGGUAAUAGAUUUAUAGUUUUUUCCUUUUUUUUUGGCUUUUAGGGCCACACAUGUGGCAUAUGGAGGUUCCCAGGCUAGGGAUGAACUGGAACUACAGCUGUUGCCACAGGACAGCAUCAGAUCUGAGGUGUGUCUGCAACCUACACCACAGUUCAUGGCAAUGCCAGAUCCUUAACCCACUAAGCAAGGCCAGGGAUCAAACUCACAACCUCAUUGUUCCUAGUUGGAUUCGUUUCCACUGUGCCAUGAGGGGAACUCUUUUUUUUUUUUUUUUCUUUUUCUUUUUAGCAGUUUUUCCUUUUCUUAAAUUAAAGAAGGUUUUUGUUGAACUCAAGAUAGAAUGGGAAGUGAAUAUGUUAAAACAGUUUUUUUUUUCUCUUUUGGUCAAACCUGAACUAAAAGAAUAAAAAUAGAAAUGACAUAGUUCCUAUCAUUUCUCAGUGGUUAAUGAACCCAACUAGCAUCCAAGAGGAUGCGGGUUUGAUCCCUGGCCUUGUUCAGUGGGUUGAGGAUCUGGCGUUGCCAUGAGCUGUGGUGUAGGUCACAGACACAGCUUGGAUCCCGAGUUGCUAUGGCUGUGGCAUAGGCCAGUGGCUACAGUUCCAUUUUGACCCCUAGCCUGGGAACCUCCAUAUGCCC
rnacentral:lncRNA from 1 species